GAUGAACGCUGGCGGCGUGCCUAAUACAUGCAAGUCGAGCGAACAGACGAGAGUGCUUGCACUCUCUGACGUUAGCGGCGGACGGGUGAGUAACACGUGGGUAACCUACCUAUAAGACUGGGAUAACUUCGGGAAACCGGAGCUAAUACCGGAUAAUAUUAGCCUUGCAUGAAGCCAUUGUGAAAGGCGGUUUUGCCGUUCACUAUAGGUUGAACCGCGGUGUAAUAGCUAGUUGGUGAGGUAACGGCUCACCAAGGCAACGAUACAUAGCCGACCUGAGAGGGUGAUCGGCCACACUGGGACUGAGACACGGCCCAGACUCCUACGGGAGGCAGCAGUAGGGAAUCUUCCGCAAUGGACGAAAGUCUGACGGAGCAAUGCCGCGUGAGUGAAGAAGGUUUUCGGAUCGUAAAACUCUGUUGUAAGGGAAGAACAAGUACGUUAGUAACUGAACGUACCUUGACGGUACCUUACCAGAAAGCCACGGCUAACUACGUG
rnacentral:rRNA from 1 species